GCACCCUCAGUCUCUCUUAUGUAAGUGGAAUUAUAUCCUCACCAAAAAGGCUAUCCCAUAUCCCGUUAGCAGGAUCAAUAGGGUUUUUAGGUGCGGGUCGAACAUCCUUUGUGGUGUCUAGAUUCCGUGAGCCUCCCCAACAGAACAGUAGAUCAUCCUUACCAAGGUUAGAAUGAGAGUGUGGUUGUAGUCUUCUCUAUACAUCACUCACAUCGAAUCACAUAGUUUGUAGCCUAAAGGUUAGUAGUAAACCGGGUUAGUCAGAUGCACGCUUUCUCCUAGUGGUAAACAUAUAAAUACGAUACUCUAGAUAACAUCCCGGGUGAAGUGCUCACCAAUAUCCGUGCGCUUGCGGAUUAAUUCCUGAUUGCGUUACCAAAUAUCAACAAGCAUUUCUGGUGCCGUUUCCGGGGAGAAAGACGGUUUGCUGAGAUAACCUUGAGUCUUACUACUAGCUUGUAUCUAUACUUUUAUCUUUUCUUAUCUUUUUAUUUUCUUUAUUUUCUUUACUCUUACCUUAUGGAAAACUAAGAUUCUAAAUCAAUCUAUCAAUUUGCAACACCUUCGGAAACUGACCUUUUACCAUGGGAGUCAUCCCAGCCUAUCCAAACAUCCUAGUAUAGGUUAAGUUCCAGGUUGAUUGUCAUGAUUCAAAACCUAUCCUUUUCAGGAAAGGAAGACGAAAACCCUUACCUUCAUAUUAGAGAUUUUGAGCAAACAUGUGAUUGUCUUCGCAUUGAAGGCAUUUCUGAUGACUUUAUCUU
rnacentral:lncRNA from 1 species